CCUCUCAGAUCAUCUCUCACCUCCUCUCUCAUGCCCCAUCUUCUGUCGUCGCCGGAAAUCGCCCACGGCGGCGGCCAACCUCUAAAUAGUCAUUAGACAAUCCCCACCUCCUUCUCAAAACCCUCCAGAAUCUCUCAAUUUGUAGAUCUAGGAAAUCAUAAACCCUAAAUCUACCUCCUCUCUGAUUCUUCCUUAAAUUCUGGUUUAUUUAGAUUUAAUAUCAAUGUCAGUCAUCUUUUCCCGUUGUUAACCAUCAUUUCAUUGUAGUUUCAAUUCAUGUCGAGACUACCGAAAAUCGAUCAAAAUCCCAUUGACCGUCCAGUCCUCUUCCAAAACUAUUAUUUCUGCUCCCAAUCUGGCUCGCCACAAGCAUUGUGACACAUAACAUUGGCCUGUUUGAGAAAUCGAUGGCCAUUUCUUGUGUAACAAUGCCUCUUGCGCGCCGAAAUUUUUGUGUGCUCGCCAGAGUCUAGUUUUAGCUCAUCGGAGUCAGUGUCGCUGCUUUAAUCCAGCUCAAACAGUAUAGAAUAUACAACAUGUUGAGACGUAGUUUGUUCGUCUAGCUAGAAACAGAAUUGGAGUUAGAGAUUUUCUGGUUAAAGAUGAAGCUGAAAGGAACGUCCAUCUAUGUCUCCCUAUUCUGAUUAUUGCGCAUUUGCAUAUAGAAAUCUGAAGAAGGAACAGAGAAAAGAUCAUUUGUAUACUGUUUUAAUUCAUUUAGUUUAGAAUUUGUGAAGCCAUUUUUCAUGAGUCUAAGGAUUGAAUUAGAGAGUUUGUAAUAACUUAGUUCAUUAGUUUUUUUUGUAAUUAAUCAGGGGUUACAAUUGUUACUUAUAUUAUUUUUCUCUAAUUGGUUGAAAUUCUUGUAAUUGAAUUA